rnacentral:rRNA from 1 species
GCGUAACGCGUAACCAAGCUACCCGAAUCUGGGGGAUCGCCCGCCGAAAGGCGGAUUAAUACCGCAUAAAACUGCAGCACGGCAUCGUGUAACAGUUAAAGAUUUAUUGGAUUCGGAUGGGGUUGCGUGCCAUUAGCUAGUUGGGGAGGUAACGGCUCACCAAGGCGACGAUGGCUAGGGGAGCUGAGAGGCUGGUCCCCCACACGGGCACUGAGAUACGGGCCCGAAUCCUACGGGAGGCAGCAGUAGGGAAUAUUGGGCAAUGGACGAGAGUCUGACCCAGCCAUGCCGCGUGCAGGAUGAAGGCUUUCUGAGUCGUAAACUGCUUUUAUCAGGGAAGAAACAAGGGGAUGCGUACUUCUACUGAACGGUACCUGAUGAAUAAGCACCGGCUAACUCCG